CUGCCGGCCCGCGCUAUAGAAGGGCCGGCGGGGCAAGUGUGGCCGGUUGUGUGUGAGGGCUGAGGGUGCGGCCCCGCUGCUGCCCGGGCUGCCGAGCCUCGCUUGUGGUUUCCCCUGGUGCUGGCAGAGUGGAGGCGAGUUGUGCUUUCUGCUCGGAGAGAGAACGGCCUUGGGAAGCUGCUCCAUGACCCACAGCUGUGCCGAGCCCGGGAGUCUGUCCAGCACCCUUUCUGCUGUUGAGAGAGCACAAGGCAGAUGGAGAGGAUCCCCAGGCAUCUGCAGGCACAAGGGACUCAUACAACUGUGAUUUUCCUACAGCCCUUGUAAAAGGGACUUCCAGGAUACUCUUGGGAAUGUGCCAGCUCUCCUGCUGGAGCUUUUCUAUGGAAUAUUUGAACACAAAGGGUAGAACUAAAGUCAGGUCUGUUCUGGA